GGGGGCGACCUGGUUUCGACGGGGGUUGCGAAGCGGAUGAGGGCAUACCGGGAUUUCAGUCAUCCCGUUAAACACUGAAUUUAUUUAGUCGCAAACGACGAAACUUACGCUCUAGCUGCUUAAUCGCCGCUAGACUCUACAGCAGCUUGCUGAUGGGCUGUGGGGGCAACCCCGGUAGAGUCAUUUCACAUCAGAUCGCCUUUGACCGGGUUACUUGAUCAGGGGCUAAACUUAAGGUAACUCGCCAAUACCCAGCCUGUCCGUCGGCGUGGUAGCGGUUAAAACCAAAUGACACGACUAAGUAUGUAGAUCUCUUCGUAGAGGAUUUCCGGACGCGGGUUCGAUUCCCGCCGCCUCCACCA
rnacentral:tmRNA from 1 species